GGUCUGGUGGUGUAGUUGGUUAUCACGUCAGUCUAACAGCUUCCGAUGUUCCCCAUCAGAUGCCUGAGCACACUGAAGGUCUCCGGUUCAAGUCCGGGCUAGAUCA
rnacentral:tRNA from 1 species